UGGAUUUCUUGUUUUGAUUUUUUUUUAUUCAUUUCUAUUGGACGCCAUCCAAAAAUACUAGAAGAAUGACAUUUAGUCUCUUAGCCACAUUCAAAGGUGUUUAGUGUAAAUUUCUGGGAGUAAGAUCAAUGUCAGAACCAACCAACACAGAUAGUAGCAUUGUGAAUAAGCUGAAAACAUGACACUCGGGGUUUUGAAAAUAUUUUUUCCUGCAACAGAGACAUGUAAUUGCUGUAUGUACAUACUACUCCUUUCUGAUGUCAGUAGCUGUUGCUUUGAGAUGCCAAAAUUUGUCCGCAUUUUCUAGCUGAAAAAUAAAGAAUGGAAACCCAAUGCUGCUUGAUGUGAGUAGGUGCAAUUUGUACUAGAAAAAGCUCGAAGUUAUGAGAUUGGUAGGUAAGGGCCAGGUACUCAUGUUCAGAUGCUCAGCUCCAUGCUAAACAAAAGCUUCAAGUUUUCAAAAAAACAAAACAAAACAAACAACAAUACACCAACAAAAAAAAAAAAAACAGUCUUAUCUAUUUAGGCUAACUCCUAAAAACAAAAUUUUAAACAGCAAAUUUCAGCUUAUUCUUCAAUAUAUGAGAAUUGCUCUGAAGGUAAUGACUCCUAUCUUAUGAUGUUGGCCCACAAUGGAAAAAAAAAAAAAAAAAAAAAAAGGCAUCCACUGACAUUUGCUGAUGCUUACUGAAUGUUUAUGGUGGCCAAACAAUGGUGGUGCGGUGGUGCAUUUUAGCAGUGGCAACAGCAACAUGAAAGAUAAGCCACGUUCCAGUUACAUGGAUUUUCACAAGCACAGCAUCCAGACUCUUGUUCAUUACUGGCAAAAAUGCAUAGCUUACAGUGGUAUCUAUUUUGAGAAAUAGUGUUUUAUAGCUGAGAAUUUUCUCUACUGAAUAGUUUUACUGUGCUCUUUGUAUCUGUUGUAGUUUCCAUGGAAAUAAAUAGGAGGCAUUACUUGUGGAGUGUCCUACGUACAUACACCAUUUAAAUUAGAAAUACAGAAAAAAAAACCAACAGAUAAUUCAGUUUCAGGAUAACCACACUUUGCCAUUGUGGUUAUUACAAUUCAGAAAUAAUUGUGCUUGCUUUUGUCUGCCCCUUCACCCCUUUCAGCUGUGUCUUCUAUGACCACUCAAUUUGAAAAUGCUACAUUCUGGUACAUUAUCUGAGGAACAAAAAUACUUUAUCUGGGCUUACUGCUUUUAUUCAACACCCAGAACAAUCUAUGUCUAUUCCUUUAAGCUCCUUGGGAUGUGAAAAAAUAUGGUUACAUAAAUCUUUGUAAUCCUGAGGGGAGGAUAGCAUAUAAAGAGUUUACUGGCGUUAGGAUUAAGUCUAGUGUAUUACAAUGCAAUCUUUAAUCUGCUAAAAUCUACCUUGGUGUUGCAAGCUGUUUUGUGCUUGUAGAUGAAGUUUUGGAAAUAGGACACAGCUGGCAACACUGAUAGAACACCUUAAAAAAGGAAGAAAAGAAAGAAAAAAGACAAAAUUGGUGAAUCUACUAAUGAACAGAUUUGCCACUGCUCCUUGUACAGUGGACUCUUAUGAGUCUAAAAAAUGACAGAUGAUGGAGGAAAUCCUUGUAACUGAAGCUAGGAAGAAACAGUCACUAAAGUUGAAAACACCGCCAUAGUCACCACAGAAAAUCACAAAUGUGAAGCAAAACCCAUGUAACAUUGCCGUGCAAGCUGCAAGAGUCUUACUUGGUUUUGAGAUUCAUCAAUCCAAAUGAAUGUAACAAAUGAGUCUUAGGUACCUAAGAAAAAUGAAAAAUUCCUCAUGCUGAAAGAGACUUUGUUCUCUUUUGAUAAAUCUGUAUGAAAUGAUAACAUUGUUGCAGUCAUGUGCUACUUCAGAGAAAAAAAAUGGGGAAAAUGGCUAUUUUUAGGCAUUUUUCUAAAGAACACCACAGUUCUACUAUUUGAACUUGUCUAUUCCCAGUCAAACAUUUUCCUGUCAAGCUACACAUGACUUCUGAGUUUAAAGAUUCAAAACCAAUGUAGAUGAGCAAUUAAUGCAUAGGCCUAACUGGGAGAGAGGCUGGGGCACAGGUUUCUAGCUCUGCAGCCUUGGCUAAAGCAUUUUUUGGGCACAGCUAUGUGCUCAGGAAAGAAAACAAAAUAUAAAGAUUUGCUUAAGAGCUACUGUGACCUAUGACAGUUAAAUAUCAGAUUAAAUGAAAAUCUAAUUAGGGCCUUAGGUAUUAAAUACAGUUGACCAAGGGAAGCCAAUUGAUGUUGUCUAUUUUGGAUUUGCGUAAAGCUUCAGAUACUCUUUCUCUCAGUAUCCUUCUGGUCAAAAUGUCCAGCACACAGCUAGACAAAAAAACAUAAAGCAAUGGAUGAGCAACUGGCUGAUGGUAUGGGUUGAAGAGUUAUGUAUAAUAAGCUACAGUAAAUGGGUUUACAUCAGGCUAGCCAGCCACUAGUGGGGUUCCUCAGGGCUCCAUUAUAGGGCCACUUCGCUUUAAUGUUUCCAUAAAUGACUUGGAUGUAGGACUAGAAGGUGUUUUGAGCAAGUUUGCUGGUGACACUAAAUUGAGAGGAGCUGCUCACUCCAUCACAGGUGGCAAGGCCUUGCAGAGAGGUCUAGACAAAUGAGAGAGCUGUGCAGCCACCAACUGCAUGAAGAGCAAGUGCCAGAUUCUGCACUUGGGAAGGGGCAAACCUGGCUAUACAUACAAACUGGGGGAUGAGAUGGUGAAGAGCAGACCAGCUGAAAUCUGUUCUGGUCAUGGUUGACAGCAAGUUUAGCAUCAGUCAGCAGUGUGCCCAGGUGGACAGGAAGGCCAAUUGUAUCCUGGGAUGCAUCAAGCAUGGUCAAGGGAAUGGAUUGCCCCACUCUACAUGGCCCUGGUGCAGCCUCACCUUGAAUACUGGGUGCAGUUUGAGGCACUACACCACAAAAAGGACAUAAAACUAAUAAAAAGUACCCAAAGGAGGGCUAAAAAUAUGGUGACAAGUCUAGAUGGGAAGAGAUAUGAGGAGCAGCUGAAGUCCCCCGGUUUGUUCAGCCCAGAGUAGAGAAUGAGGAGAAACCUCAUUGCAGCCUAUUGCUUCCUCACAAGGGGGAAUGGAAGAGCAGGUGCUAAUCUCUGCUCUCUGGUGACAGGAACAGGACCAGAGGGAGUAGCACGGAGCUACAUCAGGGAAAGGUCAGAUUGAUUGUCAAGAAAAUGUUCUUCAACAAGAGGUUAACAGGCACUGGAAAAGGCUCCCCAUGGAAGUGUAAUGACAUUGAGUUUGCCAGAGUUCAGUAAGCAUCUGGAAAAUGCUCUCAGUCCUAUGAUCUGAUUUUUGGGUAGUCCUCUGUGAAUCCAGGGGUUGGACUCAAUGAUCAUUAUGGGUCUCUUCCAACUUGGGAUAUUCUGUGAUUCUAUACUGUAUCUGAAAAAAGAGAGUUCAUGUGGGCCUUUUCCAUAGCUGAGAGCCCUAUAGGAACCUCACAUAGUGCAUCAAAAAAUAAAUAAUUAAGGUUUUCCCUUAAGCUCUUAAGUGAUAUUCAAAUUCUGAAACUGAAAACUACUGUUUCGAACAAUUCAAAGUCUGAACAAAUUAUUAGACAUCAGCAUAAAAUUCUGUACUUUCCUGGAAUGCUGCCAGGGUGUUGAGUUUUUUUUUUACUUUUUGUUUUGUUUAAUGGAGAUGCAUAUUUUUCUACAGCUAGGGUUGUUCCAUCUGCCCUUGUCAAGCUUCAAAUAUACUAGAGCUCGUUAGAGCUAAAUAUAAGCCUUAAUACACAGACUUAUGUUUAUCUUAUAAAAUUAUGCAAAUUAUCCUGCACAUAAACUGAUAUUUAUCAGUAUUUCUGUUAGAUAAGUUAAGCUUUAAGCAAAAUAGUUCCAGUCUUAGAAGGAAGCUUUAGCAGAAAGGAGUCGUGAGACUUCAGAAUCUACAAGAUUGUAAAGUAGUAGCUUUUCCUUCUUAUUUACUAGUUUGCAUUUCCAAAGCACUACACAAUCGUGAACAAAUUAAUCUAAGGCAUUACAGUGAAUUUUACAGAUAAGGACAUUAAAAGCCUUUAGCAAAUGUUUAAUUGAAAUAACUGCCAUACGUUAAUUCCAAGAAACUUGUUUCAGUAUCAGAAAGAUUUAGCAAACAUCUAGUGAGAGUGAACUCAAUAUGCCCCAGUGCAGAGAAUCUCACAUGCACUACUCUUCUCCCUCAGCUAGAAAGAACUGCUUUGAAAUGACAUCUUAAGAGUAAAUGAGGAGCACACUAAGAAUGGAAAGAAAUUAAUAAUACACAAGCCUAUGGAAUAGACAGAGCAUGUGCAGAAACCAUAUUCUUUAUGGCUGCCCCUUAGGCAACAGCACAGCUUUGCAUGGAGAAAAAGCUUUCACUUCGUCCUCACAGUAGUUCUGAAUCUAACUUCCAAAUCAAAGGAUUUGUACUCCUUUAAGCAAGAGUGACUGUCACCCCCUCCAGAAUGGUAAGUUAAUUCUAAUCACUCAGUAAAAUCUGGCAGAGGAUAGCCUGUGGUGAACUCAAAGGUUUUCUCACAGAACUGUGUUUUAAUGUAAAGCAUCACCGCUUCUGCAUUCUGUCAUCUGCCAAUGGGAAUCCAAUUGCUUCAGGAUCCCUACUAAACACCACUGUCAUAAAAUAAACUUUUAUAUUAAACUUCUGUUCCUGUGCAGUCAUUUUUGUACAAAGUGUCUGGCAUUUAACCAAUUGGUCUUUUCCUGGGUAAAGGUCAUAGAGAAAGAAGGAGGAUGUGAUCCUUCACAUCCAAUUAUCCACAUCUCGAGACAUGUUAUACUGGAAGAUUUUUGCCACAUCUCAUCUAUUAGGAUAACCCUUUCCCUAGCACAAUACAAAACUGUUGUGUUUCUGGAACUGAUAUCCAAUAGUGAUUUCAGUAGAGAAGAGUUGAUGGAAAAAAAAUUAAAUCUACUAGGAAAAAUAGGUCUUCACAUUUCACAAUAACAUGCAUAUUGCUUAUUAGCAGGCAUUUAGGUCAUAUAUGCACAGAGAGUCUAGCAGUCCAGCCGUGUGACUAUCCAGCCAGAAGCACACCAUCAGUUGGGUGGGCAGACACAAGAACGCUUGCACAUCCUCUGUCAGCCUGGUUUGUUUCCAUAGAUGACUUUUUAAGAAAUGUCUCUUAACUGAUACUUUUGGCUUCCUAUGCAUGACAAGGUUAUGUUUGAUAAGUGCAUAAAUACACUACGGUAUUUUAGAUUUCUUGCUUACCCAGUUUUGGGGGACAAAAGAUCUUUGAGUAAAAAAGAAUCUGGGAUAUUUUGAGAAUAUUCUCCAAGGGGGAGAAAAAGGAAGGCAGGUGGCAGAGUGAGAGCUAGAAAGGAGAGAGCAGAAGGGUGAAUAAUAUUAUAUUACUAAUGAAUGAUGGCCUGCUGGUGUGAACUUGAAGUGUUUUAAGAUCCACCCCAUCAAAGCUGAGAUUACCUGAAAAAUAUUUUCCUGAAUCUCUAAAAUAUUCUCAAAGUUUUGUAUUUGCCUCUCAUUCUUCAGGGUAACAUCCUCAAUUUUGGAUUAAAAGUAAAGUAUUUAAUCCUGGAACUGUUGUUUAUUCAGGCAACAAGCUGAAUUUCAGUCUUAUAUUGGUUCUUCUUAAAUAAACAUAGAUGUAUACCUGGAAUACUGAAGAUAUAUCUUGCAAAACAAUGAAUGAUAAUAAACAAUGAUAUGCUAUGAUGAUAAACAGUGAAACUGCUUAGAUAGUAAAUAGGUGGCAUUCCUAAAAGAAGUAAAGCUAGACAUGGACCAGCUUUUGCUUCUUCCUAUAUAUCUGCCCUUAAUAUUUGUGGACUUUUUGUUAUACGUGAAUUUAAUGAGUGUCAUUCUGCACAUUUACUAAGUAAGGCAACAGGCACUGUGCAUAUUGGUCUGUGCUCAGAUAAAAUUUCAGUUAAAACAUAUAUAUGAAUAACCAAAUAUACUCACUACAAGAGCACAUUAAAAAAUGGAAAACAAAAAAACACUCUGUUGAAUACUGUCUGGCUCUGUUUUGUGAAGGCCUUCCCAAAUCCUCUCCUAUCUUCACAAAAUCAGGAUAGCAUAUUCUCUUAUGUCUUAGCAAAAUAAAAAUGAUACCUGGCAUUUCAUCUGCUUAGUUGGCUCUGCUGUUAAGGGAUUUAAUUCCUCUCAGCAGAUAUACAAAUGAGAACAUUUGUCUUAGUCCUAGAGACAGAAUCAUUUAUGUUACACUGCUUCGCAUUAUGUUAAUAAUUUCUAUCCUAAGUGAAGUCACAGGAAGUGUUUGUCACUAUCUCCAAUGGGACUCAAAUUUAUUUGAUGUAUGUUUAGUAUAUAUAAAGUUCAGUCAUUUCACUAGAGUUCUUAAAUUCAUAAUGGAUAACAUUUUUCUCCAAUGCUUUUUUGAAAGGAGGAAAAAAAUUGCAUGCGUGCAUAUUCAUAAAAUACUACCACAGAAGAAUUAGAAUUGUGUACAAUUUGAAAGAGUGCUGAAUUACAGGUGGGGUUAAAACAACUUCACAUUAGUGAAAUAUCGUAUGGUGGCUUUCAUUAUUGAUUCUCUGUCAACAUCACGUUAGUUCUUUUCUAAAUCAGUUCUGUGGCUUGAACUUGAAAAGACCAUGAUGCGGAGUCCACAGGUUCAUUCUAAUUGCUCCUUUUCCUGGUAGACUCCACUGUGCCAGCCUGUCACUCAUCAAGACCAUUUGUCUGUGAACAGACUUAAUUAAGCACCUCAAAUCCAAUUUCUUUGAUCUUUUACACUAUUAAGGAAACACACUCAGUCCAUCAGCUAUGGAGAGUUUUCUAAAGAAAAACCUCCUGAAAACACCCACUGGUGUUAUUCUCCUCUGUUGAAAUAGAAAGUUCAAAAACAAGCAGGUGAAUUAGGAAGGGAAAAUAAAAUAAUUGGAGAGACAACAAAAAAAUUGUUAAAUCCUAAAUAUUCAGAAGAUUUAAGGAGUGAUUUACAGCACUUAUCAACUCUUGCACUUUUUUUCUCUCUCAAGAGAGAAAAAUAUCCAGUAGAGACUUGAUUUAAAUAUAAAUGUUUAGUUACCCUCCUUUCAGAAUUUAGCAGGCAAUUGCAUUUGUUUUUGUGAAAGAGGUAUGCACUUUCAGCAUCCUUUCUCACUGCUCAAAUAUCCAGCACAUUGAUAGAAAUGAUCAGGUGGAAACGCUUUAAAAAUAAAUAACCAGAGUUUCAUGAAAAUAAUUCAAGAGCUGCUUUUGGGCUUUUUUAUUAACAUUCUUGCCAUUUACACUGUAUUGACUUAAUUAUUUUCAGAUAAUAUUUACCUGUGUCUACUCUUAUAAUUGCAUCUUAUGCAAAACUGUUUGCAUUCAUAAAAAGAUCUUAUCUCGCAGCUUUGUGACAGAGAUUAUUCUGCACUCAAUGGCUACUCACUGCACCAUCAACCAGAAACCAAAUUCAUAAUAUAGAUUGUUGUGAGUAAUAACUUUUAAGGAUUUUUUAAUAAUUAAUUUAUUAAUAAUGAUUUCAUUCCACACUGGGAAAUAAGUUAUUUGUAUUUUAGAAAAUACUGCUGCUAAAGGUGUUUUUCUGAAAGAAGAUCACUAGCUAUAGUUCAUUCUAUUGUUGUCAGGUAUUUUUCAUGCCUUGUUAGCUAAUUUCCUCUUCUUACUGUCAGUUAAAUAUUUUCCAGAAUUUCAUGGUUAUGGAAUGGAGAUCAGACUUCUGCAGCCAUAUCUGAAGAGCAGCUCCUGUGUGACAAACACUUAACUGGUUAAAGAGUGUUUUACAACUCUACGUAAGGCUGAAUUAACCAGAUAAAUAUUCAGGCCUAAACAUGGUCAUGGUACAAAGUUGAUUUGAAACAGAUAAAAAUUGCUAAUUCGAGCUUUGUGAAAACUUUACACAUAUAUUUGUAUAUAAAAUAUUUAGUUCUCUCUUUAGUUUGAGACUAUUUCUUCUAUUAACAAUUCAUUAUGGUCUAUGUAACAACAUACGUAAAUGAAGUAGAAAUGUCUUCAGUGACUACUGGGAUUGCUCAGUCUGGAGAAGAGGCUCAGAGGAGACCUUAUUGCUCUCUAUAGCUACCUGAAGGGAGGAUGUCGUGAGCUGGAGGUCGGCCUCUUCUCUCAUGUAACUAGUGAUAGGACUAGAGGGAAUGGCCUCAAGUUACUCCAGGGAAGAGUCUGGCGGGACAUUAGGAAAUACUACUUUUCUGAAAGAGUCAUCAGGUGCUGGAAUGGGCUGCCACCCAGAGAGAUGGCGGAGUCACCAGCCCCGGAGGUGUUCAAGGAAUGUUUAGACGCUGUGUUGAGGGACAUAGUUUAGUGAGAACUAUUGGUGAUAGGUGGACAGUUGGACUGGAUGAUCUUGUAGGUCUUUUCCAAUCUUAGCGAUUCUAUGAUUCCAUACUUCAUUGUAUACUACGAUUAUAACUAUCCUCAGACAAAAAAAAAUUAUGUGGCAAAUGUAGUACAUUUCCUAUGUUCCUUUUAGAAGCACUUUUUUGUCCUUCAGAAAACAAAAAUCAGAUUUAUUUUAGAGUUUACUUUUCUUAAAUUCCUAUCAGAUAAGACAGAUAUUUAUGCUAGAAAGUAGUAUAGAGUUUAUUUAAUUACUUUUCCAGUUUCUAUUCUCUAUUCUAUUUCAGUUCUCUCUCAGAAUAUAAGGUACAUUUGGAAGUUUGAAGAACUGUAGGACAAAACUUAUGAUGAAAGCUGAAAACUGGCAUUAGAUUUUAUUAAAUAAAUCAUCACUGCAAGAAGGUAGAAAUAAUCCUGAGCAAUGCUGUAAAUUCCACGUAGUCUCAAUUUGUUCUCACUUCAUUUUGCAGUAGUAUUCACAUGUGCUAGCUCAUAAGAGUUGAUAUCACUGUUAGUUAUUGCUGUGCUUUCUUCUAAUUACCACCAAAUUGUGACCACAGCAAACUACAUAUGUUUUUUAAAAUAUCACUCUUUUAGUUCUUCAUCCUUGAUGCAAACAUGAUGAGAAAUGUAUCUAUGCUUAUUAGGUGUCUUACAGCAAGGCAAAGUUACCCAUAUUAAGUCUCAGGAGAUAGGACUUUCUUCUGACCCAGAUAUUUACAAAACUGGAAGUCAAAGUACAGCAACAUGAGCAAUUGGACAAGUCAUCAGUAAGAGCUAAUGAGAAACUGUGUAAAAUGACAUAAUUCUAUUGGAUACUGAGAUGGUAUCAUUAGUAUGUAUUAAAAGACUCAGAGAGGGUUAAAUUAAGAAAUGAUGUGCCACUUUUCAUUAUCCCAAGGAAGUCCUGUAUACAGUAUAUCAUUAGAAACUAUUUACUGAAGCAAAAUAUCAAGCACACAUUGUGUAUCUCUUGAAUCAAGAUGUCAUAAAUAAAUAUUUUCAAGACAAAAUAAGCAAACUUGCACUUCAGUAGGCCAUGAAUCUGACCUCUUUAUCAUGUACUUCAAAAUAAAAUCACUGACUUCUUUUUUUUAACAGCCUUUGCUCACCAUCCACUAGAAUUUUCUGACAAAAAUCACCACAAGGGCUCUGAGUUAAGGCGGGCUGAGCUAGCUGACACAACCAACUCUGAUUUCCAUUCAGUAUUCAGCUAGUUCCAGUCACCAAAGGGUCUUAAAUUAAGGUAACAUGAGAUAAGAGGGAAGAUCCUCACUGGGAUAACUAACUAAGAGAUUGGAAACAAAGAGCUUCAAUAAAUGGUCAAUUUUCUCAGUGAAUAGAAGGCACCAGUGGUAUCCCACAGGGAUCUUCACUGGGGCCAAAGCUGCUCGACAUGCUCGGGGCUGAUCAGGAGAACAGAAUGGAGAGCAGAUUAAGUUUGCUGUUGCUACCAAGUUUUCAUGGUAAGAAAAACAGAAACUGACUGCUAAAAAGAGAGUUGAAGAAAGACUCUGUGGCACUGAGUGAUUGGGGAUAAAAUGGCAGACGACAUUCAGACUACACAAAUGUAAAGUAAUGAACUUGGCAAAAAACAGCUCAUGCUGUGCCCAGUGAUUGAUUCUGAAUUCACUGCUACAUCAGACAAAAUAACAGCCUUAUGAAAAUAUCAGUUCAGUAGCUCAGGAAUCAUUAUCAGAGGAAAAUCUCAGAAAAUGUAAUGUUUUUGUGCAAAGUCAAUGCUAUGAUCAUAUCUUGAUUGUUAUGUAUAAUUCUGGUCCUUUCAUCUAGAAAAAGCACAGAGUAGAAUUUGAAAAAAAGGUGGACAAAGAUGAUCAAAGGUAACCAAAUAACUCACACAGAAGGGUGAUCUGUAAGAGCUGGGGCUCUCAAUCUAGAAAAGAGCCAACACAGAAGCACGUAAAAAUCACAGCAGACAAAUAGGAGAAUAAGGGAUAAACGAGCUGCCUCUUGCAUUGCAACAGGAAAGCCUCAGCUGGAAAUGAGCAUGUGGAAGUUCAACAUCAAAAACCAGACUGUGCACAGCUCAGUCAAACCUCUCUAAGCCUUGGCCAGUGAACAUCACUGAGUUGUGAAGAUUAUUCAUUUUAAAGAUCAAAGUGAACAAUUGCUUGAAGAAGCUCCAACUAAGUCCAUUAACAUUCCUUUUCCUGGGAAUCUCUUUUUGUACAAAGCUCAAAAUCCAGCCAAAAUCAUCAUGCAUUCAAGUGAUCAAUGAAUGAGCACUACAUACGGCAAUGAGGCAAUGAAGUUUAUAUUCAUUUCAUGAUCAUUUGCCACUUGAUUACAUGGAGUUAACUCACAGAGGAACUGCCUUUCCAAAGUUUCCCAGUCAAACUUGUAAUUAAUACUCCCCUCAUUUUGACUGAACUAUUUUGCUUUUUAAGGAAGUGAUACCUUUUCCUCAUUGCUGCCGUAUAGACUUGAGGAAAACUCUAGCAUUACAACAGAGUUCCAAAGGGCAAAGAAGACUUGACCACAGGACUGCUUGAUUAUAGCAGAGAACACAUGCAGUAUGAGCUUUGGACAAGUAAGAGAUACUGCUUAUGCAUCUGCUGCCCAGAAAAAUUUACAGCACAAAUGUUGUAUGAAUCAGUGUGAUAGCUGCUGUCAGCUACAAAUAUCAUCUACAUAUUACGCACCUACCACAUGCAAAAUACUCCCACAAUGAUCUUAUUAAAGAGGCUGUGCCAUACAUCAAAAUAAUGUUAUACCUACAGCAGCCUGUAGGUUCUAAAAUAUGCCCUUCCUGCUUAUUUUGUACACAGCGAAAAAUGACACACUUGUGAGUAAACUUGCUCAUUAAUUCUGACAGAUAAUUCUGAAUACACAGUUGAAACCUCAACUUAAGUAUCUGAAAGAUGUAGAAAUAGAAGUGUUCCAAAUGUUAGUGAAAAAGAAGGAGUAAGAGGUAGAGGAACAGAGAUGACAACAUAAUUAUUUGAGCUGUGCAGAAUUUUAGAUGGGUAAUAAUUAACUGAGUGGUGAAUGGCUCAGAUAAGAGAGAGAAAAAUCUCACAACCUUUUUUUGAGUAGUGUCUGAAAAUAUCUGGAUCCAAAACAGAAGACUGUUUUGCAACAAUCACUCCUGAGUUUCCCUCUUCCACCAGCUUUUCCCAUCUACCUCAUUGUCUAAAAAGCAAAAGAUACUCUGGACACAACCAUGUAAGAACUGAGGAAUAGUCUGUGCUCAUUCACAGCCUUAAGGAGAUCAGUGUUCAUUGAGAUGGGAGGAAAAGAGAAUCUCCAGAGUUUUGUCUCAAAAAGGCCCAACAAACUGCAGAGCUGUGUGUCUGUGGCUGAGGUCCAGCCAGCCUCAGUGCCUCCGAGCAGCACAGGUGGGAGUUCCUCCACAUUUGAAGCUGUGGUCCCAUGUGCAAUGGCCCAGCUUCCCAGCAGGGCUGCUGCCCUUGGAACACCAACCAGCAGUAGGAGAAGCCUCACUGCCUCUCCAUUCCUUACUCAGAGCUAAGGAUGUCCAAGUCUGAGGCUGAAAGGGGGAAGCAGCAGUCCCAGUCCUGCCAAGCAUGAAGAUACAGGGCCCAGAAGAGAUGUCAGCACAACGCAUUGUCAAGGAGAUGAGUUUUAUCUUGCAUGUCAGAAACCAGCUGUGAUUACUCCAGGUGCUGUGAUCUGACAGAAUCAAAGCAUUUCCUAGAACAGCUUUGUGCCAUGAGCUGAAGCUGCUUCUCAGGAAUCAAGUAGAUUCCCCUCCUCCACUGUCCCUUUGCUAUAUAAAACCUGUGCAUAAUCCACUCUUUCCCAUAUUUUUCAUGCAAAGCCAUUUACAUUAUUUGUUGAAAGGCCAGGCAAACACAUACAGCAUGCAAUUCAGUACAGUAAAUGUGAAAACAUUUGCCAUUAAUUAUUGUAACCCCCAAUAAUUGUGAUCCCCGUGCGAAAAGGUAAAGAUAAACCAUUACCUACAAAGAAUAUUUCAUUUUCUAUGUAAGGAGGUGGCAGUGGAAGCUUGCUAGCAAUAAGUAGCCAGGACAGUAAUCUGAAAGUUUAUAUAUGUAGCUAGUGCUCCAGCCAGCAGAUAAUGCAGGCAAUUAGUGCUACUGUUAAUGUGCCUGCAUGCCUCAUUUCUGGAGAUGCAUGCUGAGCGCUCUCCUCUUAAGGUGGCUUCAGCAAGUGGUCCCUAUUUAACAGACACAGCUGUAUGCAAGGAAAGCAGAUCUUUCAGGAGGACAAGCCACAGUUUUAACUUGUUCUUGGUGUCAGAGCAGCAAUUGCAGUGAAAUGGAAGGAAAAAAACUAAACAAGUAUACAUCUACUAUAGACAGAUGGCUAAUAAAAAUUUGGGGAGCUCUUUCAAUACAGAAAUUGAGUAGUUUAAAAAGACACCUACAUAACAAAUGCUUGGACAUGUUGUCUCCUUUUAUAGAACACAAACAUUUGCCCUUUAACUCAGCAGCUCAACUAUUUGUUCCUUUGCUACUUAUUCUAUGCAAAGCUUCAAAACAGGCAUACAGCCAAUAUUUAACCUUUACUAUAUAACGUAAUGAACCCACCCAAACAAUAGGUGCAGCAAAUAUUAACAACUAAAGUGCCAUACUCAACUACAGCAAUGAAUUUUUAUGGUGAAGAUCCUGGAUUUCUGCCCUAUCAUGCCAGGUGUAGAGUAGUCCCUAUGAAUUAGCAGGUUGCAAUAACCCGUAAAUACGCAUCUCAGCCCGCUGAGGUUUAUGCACGCCUGCAAACAUCUGCUUUUGUUUUGUACUUCCAUCUGAAGACAAGAACAAAUAUUUCUAUUUCCUCUCAAAUGUUGACAGGUGAAUCAGUGUUUCAACAUUAAAGUAGGUCAGCCCACGUUGCAUUAUUCAGUGUAGCAGCAUGACACUUCUCAAUGAUAAAAUAUUGUCUAAUACUAAUUUGAAGUGAUACAAGCAUAUAUCUGCUUUCUGCAGAAGAAAAGUUGCUUUAAUUUGAAAUUGUCCCUCCUCCGUCUGGAAGGAAAACGUGAAGGAUUACAAAUCAAUUCUUAUUGCCUGCCUAUCCUCCUCAUCCUAGUCUAUAGCUGUGCAAGCCCACAAUUUGAGGACAAGCAAAUGUCUGCUCUGAGGAAGUACAAGUGACAGCUGAUGUACAGGGGUAGCAGCAGCUCCAAAAAAAGAAUUAAAGCUACCUCACAUGCAACAAACUUCUGGGAAUCUCCCCCAACCAUUUACAGAGUCACAAUCACAGCAUUUUCUAUUCCCUAAAGUGAUUUCUCUCCCCUCUCACAUUCUUUUCUGCAUAAUCUAGGGAAUUAUUCAUGAAUUAGGAAAAUCACUGUUUGUACACAAUUUCAAACUUUAUAUUAUGGCAUAGUCAGUCUAAAAUGUCACUUGUUGUGGCACUGUAGAAAAUAGACUCAAUAUGUGUUCAUUUAUCUUUAUGUUCAAGUAGAUACAUGAGGGCUGCUCUGAAAGCAUUGCAUUCCAUUUUAUGCUGUUUGCCCAUAAUAUCAGGGGCAGAUAUUGGUGGGAUGGGAGUAGAGGCUAAACCUUUCCACCAAUAUUCCAUUACAUUGUGUUGCUAUGUGACAGAUGGCAGCAGAGGGGCAAUCUGACAGAAUGGUGUCUGAUAUGGAAGAGCAUAUGGAUUAAAGGGGUGAUCAGGAGUGAAUGCCCCCCUGCAGAUAAAAUGGCACCCAAUGACAUUCGCCGAUGCUUGCUGAAUGGUUAUUGGGACCAAAUAGUGAACGUGAACAAAGUGAGGCAGUGGGUGGUGUGUUUCUGCAGUGAUGACACCAAUGUGAAAGACAAACCACGUUCCAUGCACAGCUGUCACACCAUGAAAUGAAGAGCAUUUCAGUCAGCUCAUCCACAUAAAUUUGUGGAUUAUGAUGAUGGAACUGUGUAUGGAGCUGAAUAUCAGCUCCAAUACAUUGGAAACUAUAGUGGAAACAUUGGAAUAUCGCAAAGUUUACACCAGGUGGGUCCUCCAAAUGCUCACAGAGGAUUAGAAAGAACACUGUAUGCAAGUUUGUCAAAACCUAUUGAACCAAUAUGAAGUAAAGGUUACAGUUUCCUGGAUCACAUCAUUACUGGUGAUGAGACCUGGUAUCAGCACUACAAGCCAGAGUCAAAACAGCACGCCCACAGAGUGGUGAUAUGUGACUUCACCAUCAAAGAAAAACUGCAGGAUGCAGCCCCUCAGUACAUAAAUUGAUGUGCACUGUUUUUGGGGAUAAGAAAGAGAUGAUCCUUCUGGAUUUCCUGGAAUUCAGACAAACCACCAACUCCAGCCACUAUGUUCUGAUGCUGACUAAGCUGAAGGCUCAAACUUCCAGAGGUAGGCCAGAGAACAAGACAAUCUUUCUUUCACAACAAGGUAAUGCCAGGCCCCAUUCCAGUUUGAACAACAUGGAGCACAUUGCCAAUCUUGGCUGGACCUACCACACCUACCAUAUUUGGUGCCUUCUAAAUUCCAUCUGUUUGGGCCAAUGAAAGGUGGACUGUGUGGGCAACAUUUUUCUAGCAGUGACACCAUCAUAGCAGCUGUGAAACAGUGGGUCACCUUCACUGGUCCAGAUUUCUACGUAUGUGGCAUGCAGGUUCUUGUUCAUCACUGGUGAAAAUGCAAAGCUAAUGGUAGUGACUGUUGAAAAAUAGUGCUUUGUAGCUGAGAAUUUGCUCUAUCAAAUAGUCAUUGUGUUCUUCAUAUCAGUUGUAGUUUCCAUGGAAAUAAAUAGGAAACAUUAUUUUUGGAGCAACCUAUGCACUAAAAAAAUAUACCUGAAAAUAUCCUUCAAAAUGAAACAGCCUAUGAUCAUAGUUGCAGCUGAUGAGAUGGAAGAAAAAUCCUAGAACCUGUUACUGUAAUAUUAGCAGAGAUAGUAGAUGUGGAUUUAUCCAAGGGUAGAGAUGUAAAAGUUAAGUCUUUCUCUAACAAUAAUGCCUCCUCCCCAUUAGCAGUAUACUCCUCUACAUCAGUUUUAUUUGCUUCUGGCCCUUACCAGAUACAACAGCAGACACUUCAGCUCUUCUCCAACACACAUCAUAAAACCUCUAAAAAGAUGAAGGGAUAAGAACUGGAUGGAGAGAAGGGGGCUAUGCUAAACAUACAACACUGGUUAACUCCCCAUAGAAAUCCAUGCUGAUGUAAACUGAUGUUAUUCUAUAAAAAUUAAAAUAACUGUUUACAGCAAGAUCUGUUUCUGAUUUUUAAAGUUUUUCAGAUUAACAAGAAAAACUCA
rnacentral:lncRNA from 1 species